rnacentral:rRNA from 1 species
UCCGUAAGUCCUCUGUUAAAUCCAGUCGCUCAACGGCUGGCCUGCAGAGGAUACUGCGGGACUAGGAGGCGGGAGAGGCGGACGGUACUCCGCGUGUAGGGGUAAAAUCCUUUGAUCCGCGGAAGACCACCAGUGGCGAAGGCGGUCCGCCAGAACGCGCUCGACGGUGAGGGGUGAAAGCUGGGGGAGCGAACCGGAUUAGAUACCCGGGUAGUCCCAGCCGUAAACGAUGCGAGCUAGAUGAUUCGAUCGCAGUUCGCGAUCGAAGUGUCGCAGGGAAGCCGUUAAGCUCGCCGCCUGGGGAGUACGGUCGCAAGGCUGAAACUUAAAGGA